rnacentral:rRNA from 1 species
ACGGAGGGUGCGAGCGUUGUCCGGAAUCAUUGGGCGUAAAGGGCGCGUAGGCGGCCGAGCAAGUCGAGUGUGAAAGCCCCGAGCUUAACUUGGGAACUGCGCUCGAAACUACUUGGCUGGAGUGUGGCAGAGGAAGGUGGAAUUCCACGUGUAGCGGUGAAAUGCGUAGAGAUGUGGAGGAACACCGAUGGCGAAGGCAGCCUUCUGGGCCAACACUGACGCUCAUGCACGAAAGCGUGGGGAGCAAACAGGA